rnacentral:snoRNA from 1 species
CAGCAUGUUGAAAUUUUAAAAAAAAAUCAUACUUCUCAUUGCAAUAGAAGUAUGAAUAUAGCCAGUACAUGCUACAUAAACAUAGGAGUUUUCAGGGCUGCCAACCUUUCAGUAAAGGUUGAGUAGUAGUAUGUUUCUCCUACAUCA